rnacentral:rRNA from 1 species
UACGAAGGGGGCUAGCGUUGUUCGGAUUUACUGGGCGUAAAGCGCACGUAGGCGGCCUGUUAAGUCGGGUGUGAAAGCCCUGGGCUCAACCCAGGAAGUGCACUCGAAACUGACGGGCUUGAAUAUGGAAGAGGGUCGCGGAAUUCCCGGUGUAGAGGUGAAAUUCGUAGAUAUCGGGAGGAACACCAGUGGCGAAGGCGGCGACCUGGGCCAAUAUUGACGCUGAGGUGCGAAAGCGUGGGGAGCAAACAGG